CUGGAACUCACUCUGUAGACCAGGCUGGCCUUGAAAUCACAGAGAUCUGCCUGCCUCUGCCUCCUGAGUGCUGGGAU
rnacentral:miRNA from 14 species